GGGCCGCGGGGCCUCCACGAUCUCCCCUCGGGCUGGAGCUCGAAUCCCACGAGGAGAGGGAGACGGGAUCCGUAGGGCACAGAAUAUACAUAGUGACUCGCCAGUGCCUUGAUUUUCUCUAAAGGACAAUUAAGGAAUGCAGCCUCUUCUGGGAGGAAGUGGGAGACCAUCCCUGAAAUUAACUGAUCAGCUGUGCCCUUUGCUCCAGGCCGCCAUCCUGUGAACCAUGACUCUCUCUCAAAGCCUGUUCUUAGCCUGAGAACACCUUUGGAUCCUGACUCCAGCUUUCCUAACAUAUUCACCCUCCACCCACUCAAGACCAUUAGUCUGUAUUUCUCCUCUUGCACUCCUGAAGCCUCCUGUGUUGACUCUCAACCCGAUUCUAUACUUUGAAAGCAAUACGAGGUAUUCCCAUACCCACCCAGUCCAGGCUGGUGUCCCAGACCAUCCAAAGACCCAUGUGUCCCGCCACCCCAUCUCUGACCAUGAGGUCACCCUGAGGUGCUGGGCCCUGGGCUUCUACCCUGCGGAGAUCUCACUGACCUGGCAGCGCGAUGGGGAGGACCAGGCCCAGGACACGGAGCUCUUGGAGACCAGGCCUGCGGGAGACAGGACGUUCCAGAAGUGGGCGGCCCUGGUGGUGCCUCCUGGAGAGGAGCAGAGAUAUAUGUGCCACGUGCAGCAUGAGGGGCUUCAGGAGCCCCUCACCCUGAGAUGGGGUGAGGAGGGAAACAGGGGUGGAGCUUCUUCUCAGAGCCGUAUCCUCAGCCAUCCGUCCCCAUCAUGGGCAUCACUGUUGGCCUGGUUCUCUUUCUGGUCGCUGCAGCUGUGGUGGUGGGAGUUAUGAUCUGGAGGAAGAAGUGCUGAGGAUGUUUUCUUCUCACAGGUGAAAAAGGAGGGAGCUACACUCAGGCUGCAAGCAGUGACAGAGAGACUCUGAUGUGUCUCUCACAGAUCCCAGAGAUGCCUUGUGGGGGGCUGAGUGAUGCAAGAUGUGUUCACGACCCUCUUUGUGACUUCAGAUCCCCUGACUGCUCUUUCUGCAGCUGCAUCUGAAUGUGUCUGUGCUCCUAUUAGCAUAAUGUGAGUAAGUGGUUAGACUGGCCCACCCCUGCCCCCCAUACCCCUCCCCACCCUGAGCUGUGUUCUCUUCCAUGGUUUACUUUCCUUUUCAGCAGAGGUGGGGCUGGGCCAUCUCCAUCCCUGUCUUAACUUUGUGUUGCAGUGAGUAAUAAUGUCUUACGUUCCAAAUAAAAAUGAAGCUGGGUAUGACUGUAUUACUGCCAUGGUGGGUUGAAGUGAUAAUAAAGGGGAGGGUUCCUAAACUCUGAGAGUGGAAAUAAAUGGAAGCACUGAGAACCUUCCAGAAUCUG